rnacentral:rRNA from 1 species
GAUGAACGCUGACAGAAUGCUUAACACAUGCAAGUCAACUUGAAUUUGGGUUUUUAACUUAGGUUUGGGUGGCGGACGGGUGAGUAACGCGUAAAGAACUUGCCUUACAGCUAGGGACAACAUUUGGAAACGAAUGCUAAUACCUAAUAUUAUGAUAAUAGGGCAUCCUAUAAUUAUGAAAGCUAUAAGCGCUGUGAGAGAGCUUUGCGUCCCAUUAGCUAGUUGGAGAGGUAACGGCUCACCAAGGCGAUGAUGGGUAGCCGGUCUGAGAGGGUGAUCGGCCACAAGGGGACUGAGACACGGCCCUUACUCCUACGGGAGGCAGCAGUGGGGAAUAUUGGACAAUGGACCGAGAGUCUGAUCCAGCAAUUCUGUGUGCACGAUGAAGUUUUUCGGAAUGUAAAGUGCUUUCAGUUGGGAAGAAACAAAUGACGGUACCAACAGAAGAAGUGACGGCUAAAUACGUG